rnacentral:misc_RNA from 1 species
GAUGAAGAACGCAGCGAAAUGCGAUAAGUAAUGUGAAUUGCAGAAUUCAGUGAAUCAUCGAGUCUUUGAACGCACAUUGCGCCCCCUGGUAUUCCGGGGGCAUGCCUGUCCGAGCGUCAUUGCCGCCCUCAAGCACGGCUUGUGUGUUGGGCCCCCGCCCCCCGGCUUCGGGGGGCGGGCCCGAAAGGCAGCGGCGGCACCGCGUCCGGUCCUCGAGCGUAUGGGGCUUCGUCACCCGCUCUGUAGGCCCGGCCGGCGCCCGCCGGCGACCCCAAUCAAUCUUUCCAGGUUGACCUCGGAUCAGGUAGGGAUACCCGCUGAACUUAAGCAUAUCAAUAGCGGAGGA